AGAAGGAGGGGGAGGGGGAGGGGGCGGAAGGGAUGUGGUGGGCUGGGGAGUGAUCAAGGGGAAAGGAGAUAGAUGGGGGACUGAGGGGGAUGUGGUGGACUGGGGGGUGAUGGAAGGGAGGGGAGAGGGAGAGGAUUUACAGGAAGGAAGAGAUUAUAUGCGGGGAGGGAAGAGGGAUGGGGAAGAUGGGAGAGGACUUUUGGGGAAGGGAAGAGGAGGGAAUGUGGGAAGACGGCGGGACGAUGGGGAAACAGCCAAGGAGGCUGACAGGACAUCCAACCCUCUGGCUAUGGCAUCUUGGAGGAACAGGCAGGCCUUGAAAAUAGCAGAAAUUCCGAAUUCCCCUGCCCCGGGAGGACUCAAAGGACCCUGCUGAGGACAGAGCUGAUAUGGCCUCAGAAUAAAGAUGAGGGAAGACCAUCCCAAGGAAGACCCCUCUAGCCCAUGGCAAAAGGGCUGGAAUACGCAAGGAUUUGAAAAGCAAGUUUUGCUUUCCAUAUAAACCUAAGCAAGUCGCUUAAUCUGUGAGCCUCAACUACUUUACUUGUGCAAUGGGCAUGUUGCUGGUAGUGGUGAUAGCAGGGAGCCACCGAGAGAGCUUCCAAGUGUGCCAUCUAAGCCCUCCUCUGGGGAAGGGAAGCUCCUCUGGGGAAGGGAAACUGGACCCCCGGGAAAAUUUAUUCUCCCAGGGACGAACAUCCAGACAUUUCCCUGUAGGAGCCUCAGUGUGUUCAGAUGUUCACUGUCCAGUAGAAACAAGACAUCUAGGCAACUCUCCCAUCUCACCAAGCCUCUGCUCUCUUCUGUGGCCACUGUGGGGUUGUGAGAGUAAUGUCAAGACCCAACCCAAUUAGAACACAGGGAAUUUUGCCUGGGAAAGGGAGCCCUUCUACCCUACACCCCUGCUUUCUCUCUUCCAAGGAUCAGGUCUGAUUCAUGUCUGCAUCCUAAAGGCUACAAAUAAACUGUGUCCGGAAAGGAAAAUAUUAUGUGUAUUGCCUUCUUCAAGGCUAAAAACCAGUCUCAACAGAGAGG
rnacentral:lncRNA from 10 species